UACGAAGGGUGCAAGCGUUACUCGGAAUUACUGGGCGUAAAGCGUGCGUAGGUGGUUUGUUAAGUCUGUUGUGAAAGCCCCGGGCUCAACCUGGGAAUGGCAAUGGAUACUGGCAGGCUAGAGUGCGGUAGAGGGUAGUGGAAUUCCCGGUGUAGCGGUGAAAUGCGUAGAGAUCGGGAGGAACACCAGUGGCGAAGGCGGCUACCUGGACCAGCACUGACACUGAGGCACGAAAGCGUGGGUAGCGAACAGGG
rnacentral:rRNA from 1 species